rnacentral:lncRNA from 1 species
AUGCUUGUGAGACCAUACAUGACAAUAAAUAUGGUGGCAUCUGACAACCGCUUGAAGCAGAAAUAAAGACCAGCUGGGAAAAGGAAAAGUAGGAUGUGGAAAUCAAACAUGAAAGAUGACCAAGCUGUUGGUUGAUGCUCAGAGACAGAUGCAAUAAUGGGGAUAUGAUCCUUGGCAUAGGUUGGAUCCAGCAAAGAGUAAAAUCUUCCUGUCCAAGGUGAAAUAUAGCCAGAUAAUGUGCCUACUCCCAAAGCGAUAGCUCCCACAGUAACUGCACAGGUCACAGUGAUCCUCAAAAAAGCUUGAAACAAUUUUGUGUCACUAAGCAUGUGCUUCACCCAAUCUAAAAAGUAGAUAACCUGCACAAGUAGCCCAAAUAUGCUUAAUGCAACUUUCUAUUACCAGCUCAGUACCGGAACAAAUAGAUUCACUAAAACAAGUUUCCACAAGCCAAUUUCAUUUUAUAAUUAUACAAACGAAAGUAGUUUUUUCUGCUUUGCAGUGAUUUUUGUAUAACAACAAGCAGAAAUACACAGAACACAUACCAAGCCGAAAUAUCCCAAUCAAAUACAAUUUCCAAGAUAACAUGAAAAACCAAAGUUACCUUCUACUGUUACCUGAAAAUAUUUCAUAGACAAAAAAGUUCUAUUCCGACUAAAAUAGACCAAACUAUAUAUGGCAAAAAUUCUGUUUAUUCAGUUUAUGCUUUUGCUUAUAUAAACAAGCACAAAUAUGCCCCCCACCCCACCAAAUUUCAAGCACCAAUAGAUUAGACUACUAUAAUACUACCACAAGUUCAUUACAUUAGACUUAAAAAAAAAAAAAAAAAAAAAAAAAAAAAAAAAAAAAACCAGCUUGAAAGAAAGUUCAAAACCUGCAUCAAGAAGAAGACACCCAUGGCGGCCAUAUGUUCACCAGAUUGUACAUGUUGAAACCCAACAAACCGAAUCUGCAUUGCGAGCAACAUUCCCAAAAUAUACAUGCAAUUAUAGGCAACAUACAACCUCAUUGAAUACCUCCCAGUAAUCAAAAGCACCAGCACAUAAAGUGGGAUCAAGUUAAUAAUAAAAACAUAUCCUCCCCAAGCCGAAACCAUGUAAAAAUAACCAAACGCCGAAGCCAAACCCCAAGCCAAUGAUCCCGUAUUAACGGCUUUCACAAAUAAAUAAAACGUGAAAAGUAAUGCGAAAAUAGCAACUCCUUCAUUAUCAUAAGAACCGGCCACGGACCUGGAUAUGUAACCAGGACAAAUGGCAAUUAAAGUUGCAGCAACAAGGCCAGCCCCUGAAUCCCAAAUCUCUUUACCGAAGAAAUAAGCAACAAGGGUCGUAUUUGAAGCGAAAAACGGAGCUGUUAAAACGCAGACUUCACGGAUAUGGACGGCGAAACGGAGGAAAUGGAGCAGGCGAUAAAUGAGGACGGCGGUUACCAUAAGGCCAGGGUAAAGGGUUCCACCGAUGAUUCUGCCCAAAGGGUACCAGCUUUCAUAGUCGAACCAGUUCCAGAAAUCGUAAAAGCCGUUUUGGGUAAGGUAAAGAGUGGUACGGUAGUUGAAGUAAGGGUCGAAUUCAUGGAUCAUGGAUUCAUAGCGGAGGACGGAGAAGAGACGCGUAACGAAGGCUAAGAUAUAGACAAGACAGAGAAUUGAAACACGGAUCAGGAGUUCUUGUUGCUUUGUUUUGAGUUUGAAGGGCUUCAGUAGAUCUGAUGCUGGGGUGCUCGACAUGGUGGGUUGCUGCAGAUUUGGGGUUUGGUUUGGUUUUUAAUAAAAUAUCAUGUUAAGGCAAAUUGAGAGUGAAAUUGUAAGGUUUGAGAAAAGGAAGGGAGUGUUGAGAAUCGAGAACUCAAAACCCUGGAUAAGCACUGGGAUUUUCAGUGAUCUAUUUUAGUCUUUGUUGCAGUCCACGGUUGUGAGUUAUGAUUCAAGUCAAAAGUGUCUUCGUUUGUUUUCGUCAAAUUUUUCUGGGCCAUGAACUGGGCUUAUAUGGUUCUUCCAAUUUUUGGUCUUUUCAUGUUUGCUUGAGCUUUCUACUUUGUUUGGGACCAAAAUCUUUCCCAAUUUAGUGUAGAUUUUUUUUUACCUGCUUAAGUUCAUUUGAAUGGGUAAUAAAAUUAAAAAUAUUAAUAAAAAUUAUUAUAAUUAUAAUUUUAAAAAAUUAAUGUAAUUGCAAUUAAAAAAAUUUAAUGAAAAUUUAUACUGAAUUCAAUUAAAUAUAUGAUAAAUUUAAUUACAUUGUAUUAAAAGUACGAUGAUAUCCAAAUUGAAACUUAAUCAAUUUCAAUUAUGCUGAUUAGUCAUAAAUUGAUUUUUUCACUAAAAAUUCAAAAAAAAAAAAUCAAAUCUAGAUUGAGAGAUAUUAAGUGUAUGUUUGAUUUAUAAAAAUAAAGUUAUUUUUAUUUUUAUUUUUUUAGAAAAUAAAAAAUGAAUGAAAAAUUUUGUUUGGUUGAAAAUAUUAAAAAUAUUUUUAAAAAAAUAAAAUUGAAAUCAGCUAAAUUUUUUUUUAAAAUUUUUCAUCGUUGUCAAUGAUAAGAGUUGGGGAGAAAUGAAAAAAAAUAAAACAAAACAAACAAAAACAAAAAGUUUUAAAAAAUUUUUAAUCUAUGUUACAAAUCAUCAAAACAAUUUCGAAUAGCCAAACUUGCAAAAAUAUUUUUUUUUAUUUUUUAUUUUUCGGAUAAUCAACUGAAGCAAUUUUAAAGCAUUUUUUUCCUUCUAGAUCUAAAUUUCAUUCACUCCGUUUCUUCAUAAAAACAUCAAAACUAUAGUCAGACAAUCAGAGAUGAGUAGUCUAAAAAUCAAAGGUAUAAUUUGAUUCAAACUUACAUUCAGUUUUGGUGUUUAGUAUUAUGAUUUAUAGAGUUCGAUUGGGAAAAGAUUGGGUUUUCCCUUGUUUUAUUUUCGUAAGCACUUAUUUGUGUUGAUUUAAUUGUUUAUCUUAACGGUGAUGAAUCUUAUUCUUUUAUAAUAGAUUUGGUUCUUUUUAGGUAUGCCCAGAAGGUGUUUGUUAUUUGAUCACUUUGAAUACUCGAGAACCAAAAGAAGUGGCAAAAGAAGCAACGGAAAGGUGUUGACCAAGUGCUCAUUUGGAUUUUAUCACAUUUUUUGUGUGAUAUAAUUAAACUUACUGCAUUAUUAAUUAAAUUUCAAUGUUAAUUUCAAUAAAAUCAAUUCAAUAUAAAUUUUUUAUUAAAUUUUUUAAUCAUAAUUACAAUAAUUUUUUUCAAUAAUAAUUAUUAUAAUUUUUAUUAUUAUAUUUAAUAUCAUCAUAAUCAAUUUCAUCGUUUAUUCAAAUAGUACCCAAAGAGAAUGACUAGAUUUGAGAAGACAACGCAAGCCACGAUCGAGGAGUAAGACUUUAUUUUGGCGGGUUUUGUUUGGCUUUUGAUGUUGGGAAGGAAUAAUCGAGCUGGGGUCUGAGCGUGGGUAAAAUUUUAGUAAGAGUGAAAUUUUAAUUGAAAAAAAAGAAGCAAAGAAAUAGAAGAUUGAAGGGACCAAGCAAAAAAACAAAGUUUAGAGGUGAUAUUAUUUGUUCUUAAUGAAGUACAUUUGAUUAAAUUUUUUAUUAACAAUAUGAAUUAUUGUCUUAAUUUUUAUUUGAACUCUUAUUUUUAUUUUAACUACAUUUUACUUUUACUAUUUUAGCAACAUUGUACUUUUUAUCAAGAAAUUAUAUUUUACUUUAAUCAUUUAAUAACUAUUUUUAUUUCUUCUAUUUUGAAAAAUAUAGAUACCAAAUAUGUUUUCAUUAUUUUUAUUUUUGAAAGUAUAUGUUCAUUUUCAUUUAUUAAAUAUGUUUUUUAAAAUAAAAAAAUAAAAAUUAUUUUUAAAAAUGAAAAUUAAAAAAAAAAAGCAAAAAACAAUUCCACACCAAAGGAAACCUAAAUUUUUAUGCUAAAGGCAAUUAUCCCCAACACUCACCCUUCAGUCGUCCGGAAUCAAGAUAUGAAUUAAAGUCAUUUUAUUUUUCAAGCUCAAAGCUUACCAAAAAUUAAAGAUUGUCUUGAUUUCACAUGUAAAAAAAAAAGAAAAAAAUGGGUAGAACUAUUUAUACCCCCCAAAACUCUCAAUACACCUCAUAAAAUUAAUCAAAUAAAAAAUUACUUAAAUACUCAUUAGUUAAUUAUUUUUUAUCUUUUACACCCAUUUUAGUAAACUAUCAAAAAUAAAUAUUUGAAAACUUUUUAAAAUAUCAAAACUGCAUUUCAAGAAAUUUCUUAAUUAUACUUAAAUUUUAUUUUUUGAAAAGUAUUGCAAUUAUUCAAAAAUUUAUUUUUGAAAAGCAUCACAAUUAUCAAGAAGUAUAUUUUCAAAAAUAAUUUUUUAUUUUAAAUUUUUUGUUGUGAUCUCUAAAUGGGUCUGUAAUGAUUUCUCCAAUGUAUGCAAUAUUUAAUUUUAGAAGUAAAAAUCUUUAAUCAUUCAGUCAAGCACUGUCCGUUUAAUAAUAUUCAAAAUAUUUAUCAAAUUUAACAAACAUGCAUUUGAAAGGAAUCACUUAGUGUGAAAAGAGCUUAUAUAAGUGGUUACUACAUUAUAUGCAAUGAGACAAUCACAAUUCAUCACACAUGGUACAGUAGCUAAUUUACAUGAGCGUAUUUUCACACUAAGCAAUUCCUCUCAUAUGCACGUCUACCAAAAUUGUAAAAUGUUACAAAUGUCAUUGAACGUACAAUGUCUAGUGUCAUAAUAGUUUUACAAAGGACCAUUAGAUGAAUUUAAAAACAAAUGGAGUUACCACUAAUCUUUUUUUUUAUUAGGUGUGAUUGGUUAUUUAAAAAAUUUUAAUUUUUAAUAAAAAUUUAAAAUUAAUUAAAAUAUAUUAAAAAGAUAAUAUUUUUAUUUACGAAAAUCAAAUUCGGGUUCGAUAGUGCAAUUAGCGUAGAAAAGAAUUUACAUCCCUACAAUGCCUGUUAGAAAAUAUACUAAUUAAUUAUGUGUUAUUCCUUAAUUUUGAUGAAAAUGAUCUUGAAUUUGGUAUUUAAAAAACAAUUUCUUGAACUUUAUUUAUUGUAAUAAUUUUAAUUUUUUAUUAUUUUAUUUUAUUUGAUAAAAAUAAGCUAGAACCUUGUUAUUGAAGAACUCUUAAAUGUCACAAUACAUUGUAACAUUGAAAAAAAUUUUUCACCUAGAGAUUUUUUAAGCAUCACUAUUCGGAUUACUUUAAAAUUUAUCCUCAAAAGCUUGUAUUUAUUUUUUAAAAAAUUAAGUGACAAGCAUGCAAUUGAAAUAGUGAAAUAUUGGUGUACAUAUUUUAUUUAUUCAUUAUUUUAGAAAAAUUGUUUUUUCCCCCAUUUUAUUUUCAUUUUCAUUAUUAUUAUUAUUAUUAUUAUUAUUAUUAGAAGAAGAAGAAGAAAAGAAAAAAUUUUAUUGUAUUGAAAAUUUUUUAUAAACACUCAAAUACAUUGGUAGUAUUUAUAAAAAAAAAAUCUUCUCAUCUAAAGAUUUUUUAGGUAUCAUUACUCAAAUUAAUUUAUAAUCUCAUCAUUAGAUAAAAAUUUUAUUUCCCUCAUUUUUUGUUAUUUUUAUUUUAUUUAUUUAUUUAUUAAAAUUUUUUUAUAUAUUAUGUUUUAAAUAAAUAAUGAAAAAUCUUUUUAUUUUGAAAUAUGUUUCUAAAUAUGUUAGUACUUUGAAUAGCAUUUUAGAAAAAUAUUCUCACAUAGAGAUUUCUAAAUAAUUAUUACACAUAAUUCUUUAAUAUCUCAUCAUCCAAAUUUUUUGUUUUUUUCUUCUUUUUUUUCUUUUUUAAAUAAUCAAAUUUUGCAAAUAAUGGUAUUCAUGCAUUAAUUGUAGAUAAUUUUAUUACUAAACAUUUUUUCUUUUAUCAUUUAUUUAUUUAUUUUUAUUUUGUGAAAAUUUUUUGUAUUGAAUAUUUUUCCAAAUACUCGCACUUUUACUAGUAUUUUUAGAAAAAUAUCCCUCAUCUAGAAAAAUCAUUACUCGGACUUCCUUAAUGUUCAUCUUGGAGAUUUUUAAUUUUUAUUUUAUAUUGUUUAGUUUUAUUCUUAUUAUAUUUUUAUAUUUUUACCUAUAUUUUUUAAAUUUAUUAAUGUUUUUCAAAACCAAUUUUCUUAUUUCUAAAAAUUUAAUUCAAGAAAUUUAGGACAUAAAUAUACAUUAAAUAAUAAUUUAAAUAAAUUAAAAUUUUAAAAAAUGAGAAAAAUUAAGAAAAUUACCCAAAAAGAUUGGUCGAAGCUUAGUCAACGGUUUAGAAAUGAUUUGGUCCAGUUCAAGAGUGGUUCAUCAGGCCUGUUCAAAUGCUGAAUGAAAUCAACUAAUUUAGCUAUGGUUUGAUUCGAUUCGUGGGCAAUUUAGGGUAGUUUACUCAAUCCAAUAGCAGCUCAAUUGGAUCGGUCUUGGUCUUGAAUUAAUACAGGUAAGUUUGAUCUACUUUUUUUUUAGGUUAUAAAAUUUACUUUUUUUUCUUAAUCCAUUUUCAUCUUUUUUCUUAAAAAAAAAAAAUUUAUUCUUCCUUAAUAAAACACAAGCAGCCCCCUUCAAAGAAAUCCAAACUUAGAUUUCAGUAGCUUUACCACCACUCUUCCUUCAUCGACCAUCGCUCGUCAAUACUGGUUAGCUCUCAAAUUUCACCUAAAUGAAACUCUCUACCCCUUUUUUCAUGUUCUCUAAUAAGAUUUCUUGAAAGCUUGCUAGAUCCUCCUAAAUCUAACAUCAAGUUUGAGACCUCAAGUUUUCAAAUGUCUUAUCUUGUUGUCCAAUUUGGCCUAAACCGAGAUAUGUUCUUUUCCCUUCUUUAGUCUCCUUUUCCACCAUAUGGAUCUUUCAAAAUAUCCAUGUAUAUUGCCAAACUCAAAACCUAAGUGAAAGAAAGUUUCACUUUAUUUUUGAAAGCCAACUAAAACCUAAACUUUUCUCUCUUUUUUGGGUUGUUCUUUGUGUUUGAAGAAUUUUUUUAUGAUAUUUAUUAUGGCACUACUUCUCUUUAUCCUAGGGGAUUUUUUUUUUAUAUUGACAAUAAUGGUUUUUGGAGAGGUCAAAUAAAUGUGUGUAUAUGUGUGUGUGUGUGUUUUUUUUUGUGGAUUUCUUAGUUUCAAUUGGGGUGGUUUUGAGGUAGGCAAUGGGCUAUUGUGUAGGAAGUUUUAAUUAUAGUUGAUAAGGGCCAUCGGUGGUGGUUGUAUUAUGGUAGGGAUGGUCUUAGUUGGGUUUAAAGGUUGGUGUUAACGGGAGCAAAGGGCUGGAUACAUAUAGAGACUGGAUUAGUGCAAUUGUGAGUGUGUUUUAGGCAUAGCUUAGGUUUAGUUGUAUCGUUGGCAAAAGCUUGAUUGUGGCAUUGCUGGUUGGAAUUUUGUUUAGGUAAUUUGACUAUUGAUGGUUUUCAAAUGAAAUUGUUUGAAGCUUUUUGGGUAUGAUUCAGAGAGAAUGGAGAUGAUAGCUUUUUUUUUUUUUUAGGAUGGUGUUAAUUAUAGGAUUUUUGCAAUGGUUUGAGAAAAACUAUGGAAAGGUUAAGAAAAAAAUUGUUUGGGUUUGGCAAUGGAAAAGGUUUUUUUUUUUUUUUGCCAAGUCUUUUCUACCUUCUAUAAUUUUUUAUGGUGUUUCCCCUUUAAUCAUGAGUUCUUCUUUUUAAGAUGUUGUCUGUGAUUGGGUGUUUUGAUAUGUUGUUAGCUUAGGGUAGGAGCCGCUGCUUUUAGAGUAGUAGUCCUUGUUGACUUUUGGGACAAUGAAUCUUUUACUAAUCCAUGCUAGCAGAUAGUAGGAAAAAGGAUGGUGAAAACUAAAAAGUUGGGAAAAACAAAGAAUACAAUAGGCAAAAGGAUAAUGAAAGCCAAAGAGUUGGGAAAAGCAAAAAAGGAAAAGGAAAGGUUGUUUGGCCAACCCUAUCAUUUUAAUUUUUUGAUUUUUGAUUUGAUUUUUUUGAAAAUUUUUAAUUACUUAAAGUAGUAAAACAAAAAAUUAGACCUUAAAAUCAAAUUAAUUCUCAAAACAAUGAGAAUUGGGCCUUAAAAUCAAAUAUCAAAUUUUAGACUUCCAUUAGACUUUCAAACCCAAAUGACUUGAAUUGGGCUUUCACUAUUAGAUUUGGGCUUUGAAGCUUAGAUGAUCUAAUUUCAAAUUAAUCAAAUUAAAUUGAUUAGACCUUGGCCCACACAAAAAUGAUCUAAAAAUGAGUAAUCCAAAUCAAAAUCAAAAUGAGUCCGAUUAAAAUGCUUAAACUAGCUCAAAUCAAAAUAUUUGAAUCAAGUAUAGAAUUGAACUCAAAUUGAUCUAGACAAAGUUUGAUGUCUACACCUGGUGGCUAAAAGAUUAGAGAUCCGUGUUGGAGAAUUUGUCAGUCUACUAAUGCCACAAUAAGGUCAAUUUUUGUGUACUGAAAAGUUAUUUGAUCUUUAUUGGUGGCCAAAGGCUAUUGUGCAACAAAAAUUCAUUUUCGAGAGUUUUUUAAGGAUUUCAAAAAUAAAUAUUCCGAAAAACCAUUAAGAAAAUUUGAAAAUACACUUCCAAAAAUUCUCAAAGGUUUCUGGAAUUGGAUUUUUGAAAAGGGAUUCUGGAAAUGAAUAUCCAGCCUGUUGAAAAAGUUUUUGGACAUCCAUUUCAAAAAACCUUUAACUCAUUUCAAAAUUUAUUUCUAGAAGGCUUGAAUCACCGCCUUAAAUCAUACCCCUAAAUUAAAAUCCUAAAUCUUUAGAAACUAAACACAAAAUCAAANNNNNNNNNNNNNNNNNNNNNNNNNNNNNNNNNNNNNNNNNNNNNNNNNNNNNNNNNNNNNNNNNNNNNNNNNNNNNNNNNNNNNNNNNNNNNNNNNNNNNNNNNNNNNNNNNNNNNNNNNNNNNNNNNNNNNNNNNNNNNNNNNNNNNNNNNNNNNNNNNNNNNNNNNNNNNNNNNNNNNNNNNNNNNNNNNNNNNNNNNNNNNNNNNNNNNNNNNNNNNNNNNNNNNNNNNNNNNNNNNNNNNNNNNNNNNNNNNNNNNNNNNNNNNNNNNNNNNNNNNNNNNNNNNNNNNNNNNNNNNNNNNNNNNNNNNNNNNNNNNNNNNNNNNNNNNNNNNNNNNNNNNNNNNNNNNNNNNNNNNNNNNNNNNNNNNNNNNNNNNNNNNNNNNNNNNNNNNNNNNNNNNNNNNNNNNNNNNNNNNNNNNNNNNNNNNNNNNNNNNNNNNNNNNNNNNNNNNNNNNNNNNNNNNNNNNNNNNNNNNNNNNNNNNNNNNNNNNNNNNNNNNNNNNNNNNNNNNNNNNNNNNNNNNNNNNNNNNNNNNNNNNNNNNNNNNNNNNNNNNNNNNNNNNNNNNNNNNNNNNNNNNNNNNNNNNNNNNNNNNNNNNNNNNNNNNNNNNNNNNNNNNNNNNNNNNNNNNNNNNNNNNNNNNNNNNNNNNNNNNNNNNNNNNNNNNNNNNNNNNNNNNNNNNNNNNNNNNNNNNNNNNNNNNNNNNNNNNNNNNNNNNNNNNNNNNNNNNNNNNNNNNNNNNNNNNNNNNNNNNNNNNNNNNNNNNNNNNNNNNNNNNNNNNNNNNNNNNNNNNNNNNNNNNNNNNNNNNNNNNNNNNNNNNNNNNNNNNNNNNNNNNNNNNNNNNNNNNNNNNNNNNNNNNNNNNNNNNNNNNNNNNNNNNNNNNNNNNNNNNNNNNNNNNNNNNNNNNNNNNNNNNNNNNNNNNNNNNNNNNNNNNNNNNNNNNNNNNNNNNNNNNNNNNNNNNNNNNNNNNNNNNNNNNNNNNNNNNNNNGAUCAAAAUUGCUAAAUUUAAAAAUAUUAUUUUGAUUCAUAAAUUUAAUUUCAAAUAAAUCAUAGAUUUAAUUUUGAUGUAAAAAUUUAAAAAAAUGUAAAAAUUAUAUUAUUAGAGUAAGUAAAUUCUUUCUCACGAUUCUAUGUAUAUACAUUAAAAAUAAAAAAAAAUCACUUAAAUAAAAUAUUUUUUCCAAAGCAAUUGCAAAUGGUUUAAAUGGACCGAAAUAUAAGUUUGAAGUCUGUGUGUAUCUGAGUGUAUCAUCCGGCAAGUAAUUGGAGUGUUGAAGGAGAAUCGGAGCUUUGCAUUGGUUUGGUGAAUAUGAUGAUGAUGAGUUUUUGGAGAAUCGCUUCUCUUCCGUCUUCUUCUGCCAUUGAUCUUCUUCAACGUUUGGAAUUGAGUAACCCCAAAUCUGUCAAUUCUCUUCCCUUCUCUUUGUUGAAUUGUUUUUCUGCUUUAAAUAAGGAAAGCCCUCUCUUCUAUUCUCAAAAAUCUUACUUCUUUACCACCCCCUGCAGGAAAUCCAAGUAUGUGUUUGAUAAAAUUGAUGAUGCCUUGGCUUUGUUCGAUCACAUGCUUCAUGCCCAUCCUAUCCUUUGUAUUGUUGAAUUUAGUAAAUUAUUAUCAGCCAUUGUUAGAAUGAAGCAUUAUGAAAUUGCUAUUUCUCUGUUGAGACCAAUGGAAUUACUAGGAAUUCAUUACAAUGUAUAUACUCUCAGCAUCUUGGUUAAUUGUUUUUGCCGCUUGCAUCGUAUGGAUUUUGGGUUCUCUGUUUUGGGGAAAAUGUUGAAGCUGGGCAUUGAACCUAAUGGUUUAACAUUUUCUACUUUGAUCAAUGGCCUCUGCGUUGGAGGUAAAGUAGCUCAAGUUGUGAGGUUGUUUGAUGAUGUUGUCGUUCGGGAAGGGUAUCAGCCUUAUUUAAUUACUUAUAAUAUGAUAGUGAACGGCCUUUGUAAAAUAGGAGAAACUACUCGUGCUAUUAGAUUGCUAAGGACUAUGGGAUAAAGAGAUUGCGCACCAGACACUAUAACAUACACCACCUUAAUCAAAAGCCUUUGUAAGGACAAGAAUGUAACUGAGGCUUUGAGGCUUUUCUCUGAAAUGAGAGGUAAAGGAACUCCACCUGAUGUUGUCACUUAUAAUUCUUUAAGUCAUGCCAUGUGUAAUUCAUGUCAGUGGAAGGAAGCUACAGCAUUAUUCAAAGAAAUGGUGGCUAGCAAUUGCAAACCCGUGUGAUCACAUAUGGUAUUGUGGUUGAUUCACUUUGUAAAGAGGGUAGAGUUUUAGAGGCAAAAGAUAUGCUUGAGAGAAUGAUUCAACAAGGUAUUGAGCCUGAUAUAGUUAGGUAUAAUUCAUUGAUGGAUGGAUAUUGUUUACGAGGUGAAAUGGAUGAGGCUAGAAAAGUAUUCAAUUCAAUAACUUACAAGGUUGCAAACCUAGUGUAGUUAGUUACAGUAUCAUUAUUAAUGGAUAUUGUAAGGCUAAAAGGAUAGAUGAGGCACUGGAGCUCAAAAUGGAUUAAUCCCUGAUGUUGUUACUUGUGGCACUCUUAUAGGUGGCAUGUCACAUAUUGGGAGACUUAUAGUUGCACAAGAAAUUUUUGAAGAAAUGUGUGCUUAUGGCCUAGUACCAAACGCGAUAACUUACUCUUCUUUGUUGGAUGGCUUAUGUAAGCAUGGACAUAUUCAUGAGGCGUUGGGAUUUUUUCAUGCAAUGCAGAGCUGUGGGUUAGAACCUGAUAUUGUCCACUAUAAUAUCCUAAGAUGGCUUGUGUCUAGUUGGGCAACUUAAAGUUGCUAGGAAAUUAUUUUAUGCACUCACAGUCAAAGGGGUACACCCUAAUAUUUACACAUAUAGCACAAUGAUCAAACACCCUAAUAUUUACACAUAUAGCACAAUGAUCAAAGGACUUUGUAAAGAAGGGCUGCUGAAUGAAACAUAUGAAUUGUUUAGGAAAAUGGAAGUGGAUGGUUGCAUGGGAAAUAGUUGCUCUUACAAUACCAUGAUCCAAGGAUGUCUUCACAACAACAACAUAUCGAGGGCAACACAAAUUCUUCAUGAAAUGAUUAAGAAAGGAUUUUCUGCAAAUGUAUCCACAGCAGCCAUGAUAGUGGGUCUAUCGUCUAGUGAUUCAACUGGUGAAUCUUUUUGUGCCCUAGUUCGGAAAUUGUGAAGGCUAUCAAAGUGUUAAUAUGGAAUGACUCUUCUCAAUUAACAUUGCUGCAGUAAAUCUAGACAUGAUUUAUAAUGUGUACCUGCUAGUAAAUAUUCUAUUUAGUCCCUAAUUCCAUCCUAUUACCUCAAGGAAAAAGACAUUAUUUUACUCCUUCAUUAGGCUUUAUGCUGCCUGCUGGUACUCUAUUUAAUUGAGGAAGAAGGCUGGUCUGGCCUUUUGCAGCCAGUAGGUACUAUUUCUUUUUUUUUUUUUAACCAGGGUUGAGCUGUGUUAAAUGGUUUUCCCUUCAUUCUAGCUUUAAUAACCUUAUGUAGGUAUGACAUUCUUCUUUCCAGAAUAAUUGCAGAUGCUCCUUCAUUCCUCUUUAUAAUCAUACUGCCUUGAAAGCAGUCCAGGCACCUGAAAGAAAGAUAACUUCAUCUUUUUAUGCUUUUGAUAGUUUUAUAUUUGCUCUUUUUGACUUCAAGUUAAAGCAGUAUGGUCAUGCUUAAUUAUAGACGUUGAUUCUACGAACAUGGAGUCAAUAGCAUAGUAAGAUCAUAGCCCACUCAUACCUUUUCUUUUUCCCCUUUUUUCGUAUGCAAAUGCAUGUAUUCAUGUAUAUAUAUUUAAAAGCUCAUUUUAUCGUGUUGGCUCAAGCUUGUGAGGCAAUGCUAUGAAACGUUUCCAAAUUAAGUGCACAAUUUAUUUCUUGCAGGAGUCAGCCAUACAAGUUUGCAAAAAAAUUGGUGAUAAAUUUGAUUCAAAUUAAUUAUUAUUGUAUGAGAAGGAUAAUCUUUAGGUUGGUUAAAAGAAUUAGAUAAUCAUUCAAAAAAGAAGAGAAAAUUAUGUACUAAUUCUACUAGUCUAUAUUUCCUUAUUUUGUUUUCUGAUGCCUUAAUGAUAGUGCUUUCAACUUGGAAGGCAUAAAGGCAGAACUAUUUGUCUGUAGGAUGCCCUGUAUUGCACUUUUUAGUUUCCUACUUGAUUAUGAUAAGCAUGUGAAGGAAUUGAAAUUUGAAGACCAAAUAAGUAGUGGUAAGAAAACACCAAUACAAAUUGAUGUCAUCGUAGGCUAAUAAACAGCAUAUUUAGAAAUUUUGGCUUUGUCUUGGGAAUCAACUGUUAAGGGAAAGGAGAAAAGAUAUAUAUAUAUAUAUAUACAUACAUAUAUUUUUUUUUACCUUCGGAUCAAAAUUAAAUUGAUAACACUUACACUUAAUCAUUUUGAUCCAAGGGUCAAAAAUAUGUGUAACUCUUACAAGUCUUACAUUAGUGUAAGUGGAUCCCUUCUCAACUCUUACAUACAUGCAUUUCAAAAUUCUUAUGCGCAUAAAAAAAAAAAAAAGGACAUAUACAGAACUCUUUGGGUUGGUCCCAAAUAGUCUUCGAUUAAGAUACUUACAAUUAUAAAGUUGUGCACAUGUUGUUUUCUUGCUCCUCUGAUAAAAUAAAAAUCAUCCAUUCAUCAUUAAUUGGAUGUUAUGAUGUGGGAGAUUUUGGUUUGUGCCUGUGCAAUGUAUAGAAUUGCCAACUAAAGUAUAUUAUAGAAUUGAAAUAUCGAUACUUAAAACGACUUUGUGCUGGUAACAGAAAGUUGCAUUAAGCAUAUUUGGGCUACUUGCGCUGGUUUUCUACUUUCAGAUUGGAUGAAGCACAUGCUUAGAGUAUCAAGCUUUUUUGAGAUCACUGUAAACCAUGCAGUUUCUGUGAGAGAUAUUACGUUGGGAGUUGGCUCGGUAUCAGGCUGAAUUUCACCUUGGACUGGAAGGUUUUACUCUUUGUUUGGAUCCAAUCUAUGUCGAGGAUCACAUCCCUAUUAUUGCAUCUGUCUCUGAGCAUCAGCCAAGAGCCUGAUCAUCUUUCAUGUUUGAUUUCCACAUCCCACUUUCGCUUUUCCCAGCUGGUCUUUUUUUCUGCUUCAAGAAGUUAUCAGAUGCCACUAUAUUUAUCGUGAUAUAUGGUCUCGAAAGCACGUAUUUAACUGGUGUCAUGGGUCAAUUGAUUCUUAUUGCUAGACCAGCAGUUUGCCUUACCAGUGCUGUUGCUGUUUCUGCCACUGUGAAGAAUUUGACUGUGCUGUUGAGGUUAAAGAACAAAGAAGUCCAGACUGGAUCCACUAAAGGAACUAGCAGUGCAAAGGCCUCUGCCUCUUCUAAGGUGACCCCUCUCUGGCCAUUCUCUCCCCAACAUGAGCAGAAAAAGGAAUAAGAAAUCAUAUUUGUUUUGAGUGCAUAUGAGUGGAUUUCUCCGCACUAGCAAUUUUGAAAUUUGUUUUGUUUAACCUUAGCCGGUUUCUCCCAAUAUUUGCACAAUAGUCAAUGCAUGCAGUCACCAUAAUCUUCUAGUAUAAACUCUCCGCCCAUUCCCUUUCUUCUGCCUGAACUAUGUAAAUUGUGUCAUUGUUGUAUUCUAAUUUCAUUUCAAUGUGAAAUAGGUUUUCGUGGAUCGAAAACCCUCAUCUGCUGCUUUCCAUCUGCUCUUUUAUUGUCAUCCAGCUAUUUGGAAUAAAAGGCAGCUGUUUCCUCUGCUUUCCGGCUCACAUUGUUCUUAAACUGUAAAUUAAAAAUGUCACAUUUUUAAUUUUCAAAUCUAAACAUUGAUUUUUUUUAUUUAAAUUUAAAAUAUAAAUUUAUUUAUGUGUUAUUCUAUGUGUCCAUACAAGUGUUAAUUAAUCGCUUUUUCAAAUAUAAAAAGUGAUAAAACUAAAUCCAACAUAAAGAAAAAAUAAUACCAAAUGUUUAUAUAUCUAUGAUUAAAAUUAUUCCAAAAAGUUGAUUACAUGGCCAAUUAAGUUAUGAAAUAAAUUGGUUGGGAGUGAUUUUGCACGAAGAACGUUUAGGUAUUUUUCUUUGUUUUAUGUUUUUUUAUUACGGUAUUUUUUAUUUUUAUUUAAUUUUUUUUUCUUUUUAAUUUUGUUUUGUCUUUUAUUUAUUUAUUUAUUUAUUUAUUUGCUUAUUGAUUUUUUUUUAUUUACAUACAUAUUUAAAAUUUUAAAUUACGCACAUGUUUUAAUCAUUUAAAAGUAUAAAAAACUAAGAAUAUGUGUUAGAAAAUUAAAUUUAUAAUUUUAUUUAUUUAUUAGUAACAUGUAAAUUUUUAAAAACAUGGAAAUAAAUGAAAAUUUUUUCAAUGAUGACAUUAAAAGAAAAUUGUAAAUGGUGCUCAAAAUUCUAAGUGAUGAAUUUCCUUACAAAUUUACCAAAAGUGUUGAAAAGAUUUUUGAAGUAUUCUAAUAAAAAAUAUUUUAUUUAUUUUUAAUAAAAUAUUUAGUAAAAAUAAAGGUUAGUAAAAUCAAAAACAAAAAUAAAUAUAAACUUUUUUUAAUAAAAUUUUAAAUUAAUCAAACGAUAGAUUCUCUUUGAGCAAAUAAAUGAGUUUCUUGAAUUUUUUUGAAUUAAAUGAGAGAAUUUUAUCUGAAUUCUUCCAAAACGUUUUAAAUAAUGAAAUUUAAUUAGAAGAAAAGACCAUUUAGAUCAAAACUUUUUAAAAUAACAUAAAAUUAAUUAUGUGUGUUUUUAUAAAUUUUGAGUUUUUAUCAUUUAUUAUAUAUAAUGGAAUAAAAUAAUAAUGAUAAAUAUAAAUAUAAAUAUACAAAUAUAUAAAAAAAUAAAAAUUAAGUUACAUUUUUCUUUCUUCUUUUUUAAUAUUUUUAUAAAAAAAUUUAUAAUUUACCAAAAAUUAAAAAAUCAUAAUUUUUGAUCAAACAAUUAAUAUAAAAUAUAAAACUUAUAACAAUAACAUGAAAAAAUAACAAAAAAAUGUAAUAGUAAUAUAUGAAAUAUUAAUAGAUUUUUAAUUUAAUAUUGUUAUAAUAUUUUUGUUUGUUCCAUUUUUUAUUAUUUUUAUAUUAAAUAAUUAGUCCAUUCUAAUGUAGCAGGGACUAAUUUUAGUAAUCACCAUAAAAGUAGCAAUAUAUAGUUGCAUUGGUAUCAUUGUAAUUUUAAUUUUUAGAUAUAAAAUUACAAAAUUGAUGAAUAUUUUGUAUUAAUAAGAUAUUCCAAUUUUAUAAUUUUUUUUAAAAUUCAACAAAAUUUAUAUUUUUUAAUUUUUUAUGUAAAAGUUAGAUAUAACAAUUCUUGUACAUUUGUCUAUUUAUUUUGUAUUUAACACAUGUAAAAUGUGAAAAUUAUUUUAUCAUAAUUUGUAUCGACAUACCAAAUAUAAAACAUAUAUAUAUUUUAGUUUUGUCAAAUUCAUAUAUAUCAUUUUUGUUAAAAUUUUAAUCUGUAUCAAUUUCAUAUCUUCUUCGUAUUGUUUUCCUAUUGUAUCAACAAGUGGCAUUUAAAAUUAACAUAUUUAUUAAAAGUAGAGAAAGAGUCGAUUUAAGAUCUUAAUUAAUCAUUAGCAUGGCUACAGAAUGCUUGACAAUAACAUUUAUAUUUGUUAUUUUUAUUAAAAAAUAUUUUGUGAAAUAUUUUAAUUUUAUUAAUUUUUAUUCAAAAAUUAAAGAAAUUAAAUUUAAAAAUGCAAAAUUCAAUAAAAUUGAAAUAUAAUGACAAUUUUUUAAUUGGGAAAAUAGUUAUUUGAAUCUUAUUUAAAAAGCAAACAAUCAUAAAUUUUAAUAUUGAUCAUAGUAUAAUAACAAAUUUCUCCUUAAUCAUAUAACUAUCCCAUUUGGGAAAGUAGAACUAUAAAUUUAUUUAUUGUAUUAAACAUUUUUAUUUUAUGUAGAACAGAAGCAAUGAAAGUAGGAAAGGUUGAAAAGCCUUCUUCAACGAGCCAGCACAUUACAAGAGACUUAUUACGAAAUGAAAUCAAACAGUGUGAAGAAGUAGAACAAUCAUGGGCUGCAAAUGUAUUCACUAGGGUUCUCCCUUCCAUAGUUAUUGAGUAGGAGACUUAAUGAAAUAGGAAGGUUGAGGUUAAUGCCUAAAACAUUAGCUCUGAUGGCUGUGCAAAGGCAAAGAGCAACUUCAACAUCAGCCAACCCGUGGAUCAGAGUGCAGCAUGGCUGGGUUGGUACGUUGCCAAGGUCAAGAUUCACCAAACAACCCAGCAGAUUAAGAUUGUUGCGCCUGAAGCAAUAAUCACAACAAUACAGAAGCAAUAGACAACAAUCAAUAAUCAAAUGCGCAGGAAAAAUAAAGCACACCAAGAUUUACGUGAAAAACCCUCUAGUGUAGAGGGAAAAACCACGGGCCACCAGAAAAAUCUUCACUAUCAAAUAAUAGUUAUACAAAGUUAUUCUCUAGCUAAAAUUAGAGCUAAUCAACAACUAGAGAAACAAUUGGAGAAAUCUCACCAAAUAAGUGACUCAACAAAUACACCCUGGAUUUGUUCCUAGAGAGCUUCAAACCCGAUCUUCACCGUUCAGAAUGUAUAACUCUGAAUCAUAAACCUCCUGACAAUGUUCCAACUCAAUCGGACCACGGAUCGACUUCCGUUUAACCAACUCUCCCUUCUCCUUUUUCUCUCUCUGCUUUUCCUGGCUUUUCUUCUUUCUCUGCUUGGUUGUCGACACACACCUUAAACAACCCCACAUUUUUUUUAUUAAGUAGCUAGGGCUCUGUGUAAAAUAAAAGAUCAAGACCCAUGGCCUUUACUUGGUCCAAAACCACUUACAUGGGACUGGACCCCAUUUUCCUAACAAUCUCCCCCUCCAGUCCCAUUAGAAGGAGAUUCAUCACCAUAGCAAUUUCAUUUGGAACUUACCUUGGCCAGGGAACUCAUUCCGGCCAAGUUACUGUAAAGCUCAAGCUUUUCCCUGGGAAGUAUCUUAGUCAACAUAUCUGCCAUAUUUUUAUCAGUAUGGACUUUCUUCAAUAGCAUCUGCUGUUCUUCAAUCACUGAACGUAACCAAUGAUAUCUAACAUCAAUGUGCUUUGUUCUAGCAUGGUACAUGAUAUUCUUACUCAAAUGUAAAGCACUCUGGCUAUCACAAAAUACCACAUACUCUUUCUGAUUCAACCCCAAUUCAAAAAGAAAACGUUUCAUUCAAAGCAUUUCUUUACAUGCUUCAGUUGCUGCAAUAUACUCAGCUUCUGUAGUUGACAAAGCAACACACUUCUGCAACUUAGACUGCCAAGAUACAGCUCCUCCUGCAAAAGUGAACAAAUACCCUGAAGUAGAUUUCCUACCAUCAAGAUCGCCUGCCAUGUCAGCAUCAGUAAACCCUUCUAGAAUUGGUUGUGAAACUCCAUAAGUCAAACACAUUUUUGAGGUACCCCUCAAAUAUCUAAAAAUCCAUUUUACUGCUUCCCAAUGAACCUUCCCUGGAUUAGAAAGAAAUCUGCUCACUACACCAACUGCAUGAGCAAUGUCAGGCCUUGUACAAACCAUAAGAUACAUUAAAGAACUGACUGCAGAAGAAUAAGGAAUACUAGACAUAGCUAGUUGCUCUUCCUUAGACACUGGACAAGAUUUCUUACUUAGAUGAAAAUGGUUGGCAAGUGAACUGCUAACUGAUUUAGCAUGUUGCAUGUUGAAUCUACCAAGCACUCGUUCAACAUACUUUUCCUGUGACAACCACAGCUUUCCAGCUCUCCUAUCUCGGAUAAUGUCCAUACCAAGAAUCUGUUUUGCUAGACCUAAAUCCUUCAUAUCAAAGGACUUAGACAAUUGUUCUUUCAACCUGCAAACCAUACUAGCAUCUUGUCCUACAAUCAACAUAUCAUCAACAUAUAAUAAUAGGAUAAUGAAGUUACCAUUAGGGAAUUGUUUAAUAUACACACAAGAAUCCGCUGCUGUUCUUUUAUAGCUAUGACUCACCAUAAAAGAAUCAAACUUUUUGUACCACUGUCGCGGAGCUUGUUUCAAGCCAUACAAGCUUUUCUUCAAUUUGCAAACUAAGUGCUCUUUCCCUUUCACUUCAAAACCCUCAGGCUGAUUCAUAUAAAUGUCCUCCUGCAAAUCACCAUGCAAAAAUGCAGUUUUAACAUCAAGUUGCUCAAGCUCAAGAUUCAAACUAGCUGCCAAUCCCAGUACCAUUCGAAUAGAACUCAUUUUUACAACUGGAGCAAAAAUCUCAUCAAAAUCGAUGCCUGGUUUCUGAGAAAAACCUUUUACUACCAAUCGAGCUUUGUACCUCACUAGUUUGUCACCAUCCUUUUUUAACUUGAACACCUAUUUAUUCUUUAAUGGCCUUUUUCCUGUUGGAAGUUUAACAAGAUCAUAAGUACCAUUCUUUCGCAAUGACUCCAUCUCUUCUUUCAUUGCUUUUAACCAGUGCUCUCUAUCCGGAGUAACAUGCACAUCUUGAAAGCUUUCUGGCUCCCCUUCACUGGUAACUAAAAUAAAAUCUGAACUUGGAUACCUGGUAGAUGGCCUGCGCUCUCUAGUAGAUCUCCUGAGCUGAGACUCUACAUCACUUGAUGCUGAAGGUAGCUCCCCCUGCUCAACACUCUCAGGUAGAGAGGAUUGCUCCCCCUGCUCAAAACUAAUAGCAUCUGGCUCAUCACCAACUGUAGCUGGCUCAUCCAUAUCCCCAAGUUCUGUUUCUGGCUCAUUUUCACCAUCUGUGGCUCUUUCCUGUGAAAUCCCUGUCGGUGUUGAAACAUCACACUCAACAGUAACUCGUGUAGUCUUCUCAUUUUUCUCAAGGUCUGCUAUGGUUUCUUUUUCAUGAAAGACCACAUCUCUGCUUCUGACUGUCUUUCUCUUUACUGGAUCCCAUACCUUGUAGCCAAAUUCCUCAUCACCAUAUCCUACAAACACACACUGUGUAGCUUUACUAUCAAGCUUUGACCUCUGCUCUUUUGGUACAUGCAUGAAUGCUUUACACCCAAAAACUUUCAAGUGAGAGUAUGAAGCAUCUUUCCCUGUCCACACUCUUUCUGGAAUGUCAAAGCCCAAAGGAACUGAUGGUGACCUGUUAAGUAAAUAACAAGCUGUGUUGACUGCUUCACCCCAGAAUGGCUUUGAUAAUUUUGCCAUCCUCAACAUACAUCUGACUUUUUCCACAAUGGUGCGAUUCAUUCUUUCAGCUAUACCAUUAUGCUGCGGUGUUCCAGGUUCUGUCCUCUCAUGCCUGAUCCCAUGCUUUGAGCAAUACUCUUCAAAGCCUUUAGAUGUGUAUUCCCCACCAUUAUCAGUUCGAAUACACUUCAAGGGUAACCCUGUCAUCCUUUCAACCAUGGCAUGAAAUUUUUGAAAAUACUGCAGUACCUGACUUUUAUAUUUCAACAUAUACACCCAAGUCUUACGUGAAGCAUCAUCAAUAAAAGUAACAAAAUAUCUGUUACCACCUAAUGACUCAACCUCAAUGGGACCACAUACGUCAGAAUAAAUUAAUUCCAAUCUAUUUUCUUUUCUCUGAGAACUUUUACGAAAAAAAACUCUAUGAUGCUUACCAAACAAACAAUAAUCACAUGAAUCGAGAAACAUACCUUUGGUCAAGGGAAUGAGAGAGUGCCUUGCCAAAACCUGUAACCCUUUUUCACUCAUGUGUGCCAGCCUCCAUGUGCCACAAGUUUGCUGAAGCAUCAUUUUCAACGGUAUUUACCUGGUUACCGUUCAAUUGCAUCCAUGUCUUAUACAUUGUGCAGCAUAGUUUUCCCCUUGCAACUACCAUAGAUCUUUGAAGAAGCUUCACUGUCCAUUCUUUUGUCGGCUUUCAUAUCCUCCUUAUCAAGGACAUUAAUAGCAAGCAAGUUUCAUUCUCAUAUCUAGAAUGUGUCUGACAUCCUUAAAGUCAACAUGCAGCAUGUACUAGUUUGUACACCAAUAUCACCAUCCAACAAUCUGACGACACACUCUUGUUUCCCAUCUUGGUACAAACCAAAGUCUCCUGCUUUGUAAGUUGUAAACAACUCCUCUUAGGAACACAAUGAUAUGCCGCUCCUGUGUCAACUAUCCACUCAAUGCCGGGAUCACUAACAUGAUUACAAUCACCAUGUGUACAAAUCAAAGUAACUGAAUCACUAUCUGAAUUUACUGCUGCAACAUUGCCAUCAUCUGAACUCUUGCCUUUCUCAUCUUUUCGCUCUUGCUUCAAGAUUCUACAGUUUCGUUUUAUAUGACCAGCCUUACCACAAUGGAAACACUUCACUUUACCUCUAGACUUAGAUCUAUGUUUAGACUUACAAGUUGCAAUCUUUUUAACAAGUAUAACUUUAUUCAUACCUGUUUUUCUCUCAUACAAUGCUGCCAAUUUUUCUCAAACAAUGUGAGCAUCUGACUCCUGCGCUACAUGAUGAAACACGCUGAUAUCAACCCAUUUUCUGAUUGUAGCCAGCGUCUUUCUACCUAGCUUCUUCCAGCUUUCAUCUUUCAUAUCUGCUGGUUUAGCCGAAUCACCCAAUACUGGCUCAUACAAAUCUUUGCAGUAUAGAUGAUCCUCCAUCAUAGGCUUCCAAAUUGAAUAAUUUGAUGCUGUCAAUUUUAGCAUGGAACCUGUAUCACCCUCCAUGAUCUCAAACAGAAUUUACUUCUAUCCUGGGUUGCUUCUGUAUCGAUGUCUCAAAAUAACUCUCGCUCUGAUACCACUUGUUGCGCCUGAAGCAAUAAUCACAACAAUACAGAAGCAAUAGACAACAAUCAAUAAUCAAAUGCGCAGGAAAAAUAAAGCACACCAAGAUUUACGUGGAAAACCCUCCAGUGUAGAGGGAAAAACCACGGGCCACCAGAAAAAUCUUCACUAUCAAAUAAUAGUUAUACAAAGUUCUUCUCUAGCUAAAACUAGAGCUAAUCAAUAACUAGAGAAACAAUUGGAGAAAUCUCACCAAAUAAAUGACUCAACAAAUACACCCUGGAUUUGUUCCUAGAGAGCUUCAAACCCGAUCUUCACCGUUCAGAAUGUAUAACUCUGAAUCAUAAACCUCCUGACAAGGUUCCAACUCAAUCGGACCACGGAUCGACUUCCGUUUAACCAACUCUCCCUUCUCCUUUUUCUCUCUCUGCUUUUCCUGGCUUUUCUUCUUUCUCUGCUUGGUUGUCGACACACACCUUAAACAACCCCACAUUUUUUUUAUUAAGUAGCUAGGGCUCUGUGUAAAAUAAAAGAUCAAGGCCCAUGGCCUUUACUUGGUCCAAAACCACUUACAUGGGACUGGACCCCAUUUUCCUAACAAUUAAGACAGACACCAAGGUUCAAGGGAUUACAGGUACCGUAUUGGCCCUGAGGAAACCUGUCUCCAGGACGGAUAACAACAGGGUUCCUGGAAUUUGUUGUUGUAUAAGAACCCUGGGAAUUUCCAUUAUUGGAGUUUCCUCCGACUCCAUUUGAGGAAUCAUUAUCGUAGGGGUCAUCGGAAGAACUUACUGUUGCAAAGAAGAGAAGGUUGAAGGAGAGAAAUAAAGCAGUUGAUGCUUUAAUCUUUGAAGCCAUUUCUCAAACCAAAAUCUUAAGAAAACUAGAAAGUGCAUAAUAUGAUUAUGAUGGUGAAGGUGGUGAAGUGAGCAAAGGGUUUUAUACAAGAGAGAUGUGAAUUUUAAAAAUCCUUAAAAUCAGAAAAUGAGAGGCACGCAAGGUGAAUUUACUCGAUUUAAUAAAUCCCAUAAGUAAAUCGGUGUUAUAAGUAUAUAUCUAUAUUAAAAAAAUUUAAAAUUUAAUUCAAUUAAUUCAGUUAAUUAUUAUUAAAAAAUAAAGUAUGAAGGCAUUUAUAAUUAUUUCUCCUGUCCUCAAGUUCCUAUAUAUAUAUAUAAAAAAAAAAAUGCGACCAAGCCGAAUUAAGGUUUCUAUUCUGUCAUACACGUGAAAUCAUAUCUUCAUGCCCGAUGUAAGGGUGAGCAAUGACUGCCGAGAGUGAAACUUGAUUUUAACCCCUUGUAUUGCACUUCUAUUGGAUUGAGAAUGAAGAUUAUGACCAUAACCGCAAGCACUCGAACAAUUAUAUUAGAAAUACUUUUUCUUGUGCCAGGGAAAGGUUUGAUGUACUCGAAUUUAAAUUUUAAUCAUUAUAUAAAUUAAUUGAAUUAAAUUUUUAAUUUAAAUUUUGUAAUUAGAAAUCUUUCUCUCUUGAAUAAAUUAUCAUACAAAUUUUAAGCUUAUUUUUUUAUUGAUGCUUUUAUUAUUUUUUAUUUUUUAAUAAAAAUAAAUAGCAAUUAAAAAAAAAAAAAACAAAUCACACAGAAAUUAAACCUUCCAGUGCUCUCUUUCAAAAACACACCCUUUGGUACGAUUCUAAAUAAAACAAGUAAUGGGUUCAUUUUCAUAUUUGCUUUGCAAUUUUAUUUCAUUAAAUAAAUAUCUAGAUUUAUCUCUAUAUCGAUGACAGCUUAGGAAACAAUUCAAAUAAAUUUGCAAGGGGGUUUGUUGAACAAAUUUUUUUGAUUUUAUCAACAAUGAUUAGACAAUUUGAUUUAUUAGAGAUUGGAAAAUUUUAACCAAGAUAUAUUUUGUUAUUGUGUGUAAUUUAUAUUACGAAACAUGUUCCAAAUUAAUAUUAAAGGAUACCAAUUUAUUUCGAUCAAUCAACUCAUUGUAUUCUAAAAAAAUGUAGUGUUUUUUCACAUUCCAUAAUUCCAUUCAGAUAAUUAAAGCUUAUGUUAAAAAUAAUUAUUGCUUCAAGCCUUACGUUUUUUAUCAUAACUAAUAAUUAUUUCUGAAUUUAAUUAAAAUUUAUUUUAAUUAAGCUUAAUAUGUAUGAAUAGAUUUUCAAUUAAAGGAAAUGUUAGGCGUAAAAAAAAUUGAAAAAAUAAAAAAUUAAUUUAAAAUCAUAAUAUUCAAUUUGUUUUGGAUCUUUUUUUUUUUUUUUUGCUUAGAUUGGUUUAAGUUUAAAUAUUAAAUAUAUAUUAGGUUUAAAUGAAAAGCAAAAAUUAAAAAAGAACCUAACAGAAUUAUAUAUUUUUAUUAUAUUUUAUAUUUUUUAAAUUUUUAUAAAAUAAAAAUAAUUAUUUUAUAUUUAAAUUUAUUUAAAAAUAUUAAAAAUUAUAUUAAAAUAAUAUAUAAAAAAUUUAAAAAAUUAAAUUUAAAAAAUCAAUGAACUCAACUGGUAGAAUUUAGUUUAGCUCAAAUUGAUUUUAAAAUAAGAUCGAUUUAAAUUCAAAUCAGAUUUUAGAUGAAAUAAUUUCUCAUAUAGUAAUACAAAAUUUCUUUCCAAUAUAAAAUUUCUCUUUAGGCAUCACCUAAUAGAAGUACCAAUGGUUCAGAUCAAAUUUGAUUCAAUUUUUUAAAAUAUUAUAUCGUAUUGUAAAUUUUAAAUUCCACAAGUAAGAUUAAUAUAAUAACACAUAUAUAUUUAAAAAAAUUAAUUAAAAAAAAUGUUAAUUUCUUGAUUCACUUGUAAAAUUAAAAAUUACACUGAUUGUGUAUGAUUUUUUUUAUUGAUGAAAAAAAUAUUAAAUGAAAAUCAUUUCUUAAAAAAGUAAUUAAUUAACCUUAACAAGUGUCUAUUUAUUACAAAAAAGAAAGGUAUAUUCUUAUUAUAAAAUAACAGGUAAUUAAAGAAAAUUACAAGGGAUGGAAGGGGAGGUUGAAGAGCCCUCCCUGACGAACCAGCAAUGAUACAAAGACUUAUUACAAAAUGAAAUCAGCUGGGAACCCCAACAAACAAUCAAUGUCAAUGUCAAUGUCAAAGACAAAAUAAUAAAAGAAAGAGAGUUCAAACAUUGAUGAAGAACAAUAUUUAUGGGCUGCAAAUGUAUUCAGAAGAGAGCCUCCUUCCACAGUUAUUGAGUAGAAGGCUCAAUGAAAUAGGAAGGUUUAGGUUAAUGCCUAAGACAUUAGUUCUGAUGGCAGUGCAGAGGCAAACAGCAGCUUCAACAUCAGCCAACCCUUGGAUCAGGCUGCAGCAUGGUUGGGUUGGUAUGUUACCAAGGUCAAGAUUCUCCAAACCACCCAGUAGAUUAGCACACACAUGAAGGUUCAGGGGAUUACAACUACCGGACUGGCCCUGAUUGUUAUUGCCAUUGCCAUUAGGGAACAAGGCACCAGGAGGAAGGUUAACAACAGGGUUCCUGUCCAUGGAAUUUGUAGAAGAAGAACCCUUUGAGUUUUUUAAUGGUUAAUCAACAUUAUCAGAGCUUACAAAAGCGAAGAGGAGAAUGUUGAAGGAGACAAAUAGAGCAGUUGAUGACUUAGCCUCGGAAGCCAUUUCUCAGAAGAAAAAUUAUUUGAAAUGCUUCAGAAAUUGGAGUAUUCUUUUGUUCAGAGAAAGCUAAAAAUUGCUUAUUGACGUUGAUGAUGAAGGUGGUGAGGUGGGCGAAGGGAUUUUACAGAAGAGAGAUGAGCUUUAAAACUAGAAAAUGAAAGCCACUAGGUCACAUUGAUUGGAGGAUUUCGAUCCUGGAAUAUUAUUGUCUGGUCGCCAAUUAUGGAAUCUCCCACGUCUACGAUGAUAAUUGAUAUCCAAAGCCAAUAUUUAAUUAACAUGAGCACAACGUUGUUAUAACUUAUAGACAUCGAGUAUCAACUUCGCAGAUAUGCAAUCUAACCUUUUUCUUUAAAAAAAAAAAAAAAAUCUAUUCUUAAUCUCUCAAGUCUUAUUUAUUUAAUUCAUAUUAAAAAGAAAGUAUACAUCUGAAUUUUUUUCGAACCCACAAUUUCAAAAAAUCUAAUUAACAUACAAAUAUAGCAUAUAUAUUUUAAAACAUUAGGUAAAUUUAUCUACGAUGUCAAAUAAUGCUUUUUACACCAAUUUUAUUAUUUUUCAGUUUACAAACUUGUUAUGAUAAAGAGCAAUCUAUUUUAUAACAUCAAAUAACAUGAAAAUAUCACAUAAUAUCUUAUAAUUAUCGGUAAAGACUAAAGAUUAGAUGAUAAAAAUAUUUUUAAUCAAAUUUUAGUGAUUAAAUUAAAAUUUUUAAUAACUUAAUAAUUAUUUUAAAAAUACAAUAAUAUUUGAGUAAUUAAUAAUGUAAUUUACCCAUUAAUUUUACAGUUGAAAUUUACGUGCCGUACAUGUAGAUUUUUUUCAUAUUCUAAUAACAUAUUAACUAAAUCUGGACAAGCAUAUAUUAAUAUCAUAUUUAAGCUCGAUUCGGAUUCGAACCUCCAAUACUAACAUAUUGAUGGAUUUAAAAUGAAUUAAAAAGAUUAUAGAUGAAGAAAAAUGGAUUUUUUAAGUCAUGAAUAAAGAUGGAAUAGUAUGUAUGUUACCUACUAUCCCCAUGAAAACGUGAUGUGCUUGAUUUCAGCACAUAUAUCAUGAGCUUUUAUAUAUGGUAUUAUAUGUGCUUUUUUAAUUUUUUCCAAUGAACCAUUCAUUAAACAAAAUGUUAAUUGAGAUAUUUAAUAAAAUAAGAAAAUCUUAACAACUCAAUGUGAAAAGGGAUACGAAUUUAUGAAAUCUGCAAAAAUGGGUAUUUGAAAUUUGACAAAACAAAACAAAAAGGUUCUGGAAAACCUAAUAGCCCUAAACAUUGUCACCAACUCAGUCUCGAGAAAAUAUGAUUUGUUGUUACAGCUUAAACUCUAUGAUUCCAAGACCCAAAGCAAAAUUCCAACUACCGAGUCCGAUUCAAGAUCCACCACGAGUUGGAAGCAGAAACUCUUACCAUCUAUUAUUUGGUGGUUUAACUUUAUAAAUACGAACUAUCCAGUUAGAUGUUGUGAAUGCCUCUUCCAAGUGCUCCAGUUUAAUGUCUUUAUUUCCAAUUUCAACACCUCGUGCACGAUCAUAACUGCCAAACCAGAAAGCAAUUAUAGAAAUUUAGCAAUAUAGAUAUAAACUAUCUUUUUCAUAUAUAAAAUAUAUAGAUGUACACACACAUCUGAAUAUGUAGCUAAGCACAUAUUAUUGUACCAACAUCUUGAAAAAACAAAGAAGACAAGAAUGCCAACUUACCCAGGUGGCUUGCCAUAUUCUGUCAUCAGCUCUCCAAACCGAUAGUAAGAUAGCUUGUACCUAAGCACAUAAAUAUAAAUAUAUAUUAAGCAAAGAUUUUUCCAGCACCAAAACUCUCUAGGAAGUCUCAAAGAAUGAAUACAUAUAUAUAUAUAUAUAUAAUACGAGAGAGAGAGAGAGAGAGAGAGAGAGAGAGAGAGAGAGAGAGAGAGAGAGAGAGAGAGAGAGAGAGAGAGAGUAACUUCGAACUUACAUGAGGCAAUUCAACAUUUUAGUAGCUGCCCCUUUGUCAACUCGAUAUUCACCAUUAACAAGGUAAUCAGGUUCCUUGAUUACAGGGAACACUCCACCUCCAAUUCUCACCAUCCACAAAAAUCUAUUUCAGAAUAAAAUGUAAUUAGAAUACAAUAAUGGCACUUGAAAAAUUCAGGAAAGAAGAAAAGGGGAAGGUGGGAGACCAAAAACAAAAGAUUAUGGUGACUGUGUUGCGUUGGUAUAGACUAUAGACUAUUGUCCAAAUAUUGGCAGAAAACCACUCAGUAAAAUUGUCUUGACAAAUGGCCAUCGAAAAGAGAUUUCAAAAUGCUAAAUGGUAGGAAACCACUUCUAUACACUCAAAGCAGAUAUGAUUCUUAUUCCUUUUCAUCUUCUUUCUCUGCCCAUGUUGGGGAGGAGGGGCUGGGGAUUACAUGUAGAAGUCAGGAAGGGAAAGUAGUGAAGUGUCAAGAAUGAUUAAUUACAUCCACCAAUCAAAGGAGAAAAGCAUUAGUUUUCAUAAUUUAAAGUAAAGAACUGAUAAUUUUAACCACUCAGAGGUAGAUUUUCAUACAAUCUCUCAUGCUUUGCACCACAUACAUACACACGGUGACUGAGACAUAGAGACAGAGAGAGUGAGAAAGAUCCAACCUUGCUUUUCAGACUCUAAAGUACAUAACAGUGUUAACCACUCAAUCAGACUGCACCACCAAUCCAACUAUCCAAGUAUGAACAGCAUGAGUUUCAUGAUUUAAAGCAAAGAAUCAAAACCAAUUAAACAUUCAGGGCAUCUUUCACACAAUGCCUGAUUUGUUGCAUAGAGACACACAACAAUAAUUAAUAAAAUAGGAGAGUGAUUUCCAGUCUUACUUGUUAAUAUCAUCAGAAGAAUAACCAGUAACACCUCCAAAGACAACUAAUACGUAAUCCACAUCAAGUGAUCUCAUUAUCUCAUAUGCCUCGUCUUCAUAAGAUGACAUUGCACGCCCAACCGUAGCAAUAUGCGUAUUAUUCCAAGUGUUGUUGUCAACAAUAACAGUUCUGUUUCCCAUGGCAGUGAUUUGAUACCCAUAGUCCCACCAAGACAUCACCUUAGCAUCUGGAGGAGUAUUUUGCCGAAGCCAGAAGUAUGCCUCACGAUAAUCAUCAAAGAUAACUCUAUUUCCAUGGGCACCUCUUGCAGCCAGAACAAUUGAAGGAGAUGAGUAAGCCUCUGAAGUAACCCAUGUACAGUGGGUGGCAUACUUACUGAGCAAGUAAAAUGCACCAAAGAGCAAUGCCACUGCACCAUUUUUCUGGAAAGGCUGGGACUGAUCAAGUGAAGCCUAUUUGUAAAAUAAACAAGAUAGGUUAUUUCUUGGAUAUACACCCCAAACAAACCAAAAAGAAGCCCAAUAUUAUGGCCAGAAACAAAAACUAUUAAAAUACCCGCAAUGUCUACUCCUAGAUCAUUUGAUUUAAGAAUUUCAUUAUAUACAUAAUAAGGGCCCGUGGCACACGACACUUCUAUGUUUACAUUUUAGCAUGCUUUCUCUUCCAACAAAUCCAUGCUAUCAAAAUGGAUCUAUGGAGGUUAUGGAUGAAAUUAAGCAUGAUAACAAAUUAAACACAAGUAACAACACGAAAUCCUGUGGUCACAGGAAAUAUAAGAACAACAUAAGUUUUAUCCUAUAUGAAACCUUUAGAUCAACAGAGUUGACACUUGAAUUUUCAAUUUGCUUCUAACUUAGAAGGGAAACAUACAUAAGGACAAAGAAAAUAUUAUAAUAAACAGAAUAACUAACUUGUGAUGGAAGAAAAGAAACACACCUAUGUCUAGAAAACAUAUUAUCAUCAAACAAUGAAUCUAAAUAAUUCAAUUAACUCAGAAACUUAUUAGAGAGAAUAUUAUUUUAAAUGUGGUUUAUUAAAAGCUUGAGUUCUCUACAACAUUGAUCCAUGAAACCAUAUAAACAAAGACCAUUAAAGCAUGCAUCAGAUGCGAGCUCAGUCAUUGCCAAAUAAUUAUACACAAAAACUACAAAACCUUUUAAUUAAUUACUAACAGUGACACAUUCAAUCCCCAAAAAAUGUAUGUUAACUAAAACAGAAGGAAAUACUUGCUUGUCAGAAUUUAUAUUCCUUUCCCCAUAAUACAGCAAGAUCCAGAGAAGGGUAGGUAAACUACUGGCAGGAUUUUCCUCUUGAAGGUAUUUAGGAAUUUCGAGCAACUACAUAUUUCCCCCAAAACUCAGGAUUUAGAACUAAUAAGUGCUACUUUGGCUGGAUUAACUGUAACUUCAAAUUUACAACUCAAAUCCGUAAUCAGGUGGACUAUCUAGUUCUAUAACAUAUCUUAUUUUAGCUUAACCCCUGUUUAUAAUUUAAACCAAGAAGGUCAAAUUCCAAUUACUGCUAAUUCUUUCAGUUUGCAGUAAUAGAUGGAAAGAGAUCCCACAAACAGCUUAAUGGAAUUAGUAGGCCUUAUAUCACUACCUAGAAGCUUCUUCAUCAAGUUAUUUCAUUUCACACUUGACCUGAAUGAAAGAACUCCCAAAGAAAAGCUCGUUAUAUGUCCAAGAUAACCAAAUAAUGGUACUGAAUAUGCCAUAGCCAAACAGAAUAACUAGAUAAUUCAACCGAUAAUCUCUAGAAUCAUAAUUUGUUAUCAUCAAUGCAUUACAAUGCUAUCUAGCGAUAAGGAGUAUUAACAAUAGAACCAAACAAAAACUGGAAGAUUUAGCUCCUUAAUAGUUAGCAAAAUAAGUGCAUCCAAACAAAUUCUUAUUACUACAAGUUUCAAUGUUCAGAUUUUUUUUCUUUGGCAAAGGACCACAAGCAUUGUUAUUUCAGUUGCAUCAGCUCAAUUCUCAAGAAACAGCAAGUACAUUCACAUCAAACAAAUUUUUUACCAACAGUAAAACUAAAGCAAUAUUCAUUCUGCGGGCAAAACAUGAGUCAGACAAUCAAAAUAUCAGAGGAAAGGGAAAGAAAAGAGAGAAAAUGGCAGGGAGGGGUUACCUUAGAAGAGGCCUUUGCACUGCUAGUUCCUUUAGUGGAACCAGUCUGGACAACCUUGUUCUUUGACCUCACUAGCACAGUCAAAUUCUUCACAGUGGCAGAAACAGCAAUGGAACUAAUAAGGCAAACUGCAGGUGCAGCAACAAGAAUCAAUCGAACCAUGACACAGCAAAAUACAUGCUUGUGAGACCAUACAUGACGAUAAAUAUGGUGGCAUCUGACAACCGCUUGAAGCAAAAUAAAGACCAGCUGGGAAAAGGAAAAGUAGGAUGUGGAAUCAAACAUGAAAGAUGACCAAGCUGUUGGCUGAUGCUCAGAGACAGAUGCAAUAAUGGGGAUAUGAUCCUUGGCAUAGGUUGGAUCCAGCAAGAUAAAAUCUUCCUGUCCAAGGUGAAAUAUAGCCAGAUAAUGUGCCUACUCCCAAAGCAAUAGCUCCCACAGUAACUGCACAGGUCACAGUGAUCCUCAAAAAAGCUUGAAACAAUUUUGUGUCACUAAGCAUGUGCUUCACCC